rnacentral:rRNA from 1 species
AGAGGAUUUGAUCCUGGUCCAGGAUGAACGCUGGCGGCGUGGAUAAGGCAUGCAAGUCGAGCGGUCGUUUGUGCUUCACUAUGUUCAGCACAAACUCCCCAAAUUCAAAAUGCAAAUCUCAAAAUGCAAAAUAAUGGUUUCGCCAAAGGUGAAUCAACAAUUUUGAUUUUUGAACUUUAAUUUUUUACUUUGAGCGAGUGGUGAGCGUAGCGAAGCACGAACGAUAGCGGCGAACGAGUUAGUAACACCUUGGUACCUACCCCAGAGCCGGGCAUAGCCAGCCGAAAGGUUGGGUAAUUCCCGAUGGUCUCGCAAGAGUAAAGACGCAAGUCACUCUGGGAUGGACCUAGGUCUGAUCAGCUUGUUGGUAGGGUAACGGCCUACCAAGGCUAUGACCAGUAGGGGGGGUGAGAGCCCGAUCCCCAACGAGGAAACUGAGACACGGUUCCUACUCCUACGGGAGGCAGCAGUCAAGAACAUUCGACAAUGGGCGAAAGCCUGAUCGAGCGACGCCGCGUGCAGGAUGAAGCAUCUCGGUGUGUAAACUGCUUUUCCACCGGAGAAAGUCGCAAGACUGAUAGUACGGUGGGAAUAAGUGGCUGCAAACUUCGUGCCAGCAGCCGCGGUAAUACGAAGGCCACAAGCGUUAUCCGGAUUUAUUGGGCGUAAAGGGCGCGUAGGGGGCUUGGUAAGUCUGUGGUUAAAUUUCGGGGCUUAACUCCGGAGCUGCCUCGGAAACUACCAGGCUAGAGGACGUUAGAGGUAGAUGGAACGCACGGUGUAGGGGUGAAAUCCGUUGAUAUCGUGCGGAACACCAAAGGCGAAGGCAUUCUACUGGGACGUUCCUGACCCUGAGGCGCGAAAGCGUGGGGAGCAAAAAGGAUUAGAUACCCUUGUAGUCCACGCCCUAAACGAUGCUGACUAGCUGUCUCGAGUAUCGACCCUCGGGGUGGCGUAGCUAACGCGUUAAGUCAGCCGCCUGGGAAGUACGAGCGCAAGCUUAAAACUCAAAGGAAUAGACGGGGACUCGCACAAGCGGUGGGGCAUGUGGUUUAAUUCGAUGGUGCACGAAAAACCUUACCAGGGCUUGAAAUGCAUUUGACCGCUCUCUGAAAGGAGAGCCUUCGCCGUAAGGUGACAAAUGCACAGGUGCUGCAUGGUUGCCGUCAGCUCGUGUCGUGAGACGUUCCCUUAAGUGGGGUAACGAGCGCAACCCUUAUUCUCUGUUAUAAGUGUCAGAGGAGACUGCCGUCGUAUAGACGGAGGAAGGUGAGGAUGACGUCAAAUCAGCAUGGCCCUUUGAUGCCCUGGGCUACACACAUGCCACAAUGGUUCGUACAAUGGGUUGCCAAGCCGUAAGGCGGAGCUAAUCCCAUCAAAACGGGCCCCAGUUCAGAUUGGGGGCUGCAACUUGCCCCCAUGAAGUCGGAAUCGCUAGUAAUCGCGGAUCAGCAUGCCGCGGUGAAUACGUUCUCGAGUCCUGUACUCACAAGAACCGCGACCGGCAGCUUUAUUUGCCAGAUGGUUGAAAUCCAUCCAUUUCCUUGUCCGUCAAGGAAAGCGUAGCGAAGGAAUAGUUCGGCGUCGCGAGGCGCCGAGCGGAGGAUUCCGGAACGAAAGGUAGCCCACAGAAAAAAGACCGAUCGACCUAUGGAAACAGGCGGUGAGCAUAGGGAAGAUCAUGGAAAGACGGUCUCUGAGGGAUGUCUGGAAGGGAAAAUAAAGUGACCCGGUGAGAUCUGAUGCCGUUACUACAUUCAUAAUGUGGUAUAAUGGAACUUACGCGGCGUCAGAAGUCAGCUGGUCCAUAGUACCCCGCUGUUAGAGCGGAGGAAGGGGCCACUCUUAAAGAAUUGUUUUUAUAUGCUUCAACCUGAAUAUAUUCUCGGUCUUGUCGAUGGCGAGGGGAGUUUCACGGUAUAUGUGAAGAAUCCCGACGAGCGGAAGAAUGUAAAAAGGAGGGUGAGGGCCGAACCGAAGUUCUAUCUGAAGCUCAUUGAAAAGGACAAGAUGAUCCUUUCAGAGCUGAAAGAUUUUUUCGGAUGCGGGAAUGUGUACUAUCAAAAAGAUACCCGGAAAAAUCAUCACGAUUGCUAUCGGUAUGAAGUGGCGAACCGCGAUGAUUUGAGAAGGGUGAUACUUCCAUUCUUUCGGAAACAUCCCUUACGGUUUCCUUCAAAAAAGAAGGAUUUCGAAAUGUUCUGCCGGAUCAUGAAAAUGAUCGAGAAAGGGAAUCAUCUCUCGAGAGAGGGAUUGAGGCAAAUAUAUCAUUUGAAGCAGACGAUGCAUUAGGAGCUCGCGUAGUGCGGGAAAUCCGCUCGCUACGUCCCUAAACCGCUUUGACACGCGGUAGGGAUCCCGGUCCGAAUGCGGACCUAGGGAUGGGAACAUCAACUCUAAGUUCAUAGAGGAUAAUCGCCCGUCACACCAAGGGAGCCGGGAGUGGGUGAAAACUCCAACAGGGGUUUAGCCUAAGCUCGGUGACACGGGUGAAGUCGUAACAAGGCACGGGUAGCGGAAGCU